AAUCCAUAGGUUAAUGAGGCGAACCGGGGGAACUGAAACAUCUAAGUACCCCGAGGAAAAGAAAUCAACCGAGAUUCCCCCAGUAGCGGCGAGCGAACGGGGAGGAGCCCAGAGCCUGAAUCAGCAUGUGUGUUAGUGGAAGCGUCUGGAAAGGCGCGCGAUACAGGGUGACAGCCCCGUACACAAAAGCGCAUGUGCUGUGAGCUCGAUGAGUAGGGCGGGACACGUGGUAUCCUGUCUGAAUAUGGGGGGACCAUCCUCCAAGGCUAAAUACUCCUGACUGACCGAUAGUGAACCAGUACCGUGAGGGAAAGGCGAAAAGAACCCCGGCGAGGGGAGUGAAAAAGAACCUGAAACCGUGUACGUACAAGCAGUGGGAGCACCCUUUGGGUGUGACUGCGUACCUUUUGUAUAAUGGGUCAGCGACUUAUAUUCUGUAGCAAGGUUAACCGAAUAGGGGAGCCGGAGGGAAACCGAGUCUUAAUUGGGCGUUAAGUUGCAGGGUAUAGACCCGAAACCCGGUGAUCUAGCCAUGGGCAGGUUGAAGGUUGGGUAACACUAACUGGAGGACCGAACCGACUAAUGUUGAAAAAUUAGCGGAUGACCUGUGGCUGGGGGUGAAAGGCCAAUCAAACCGGGAGAUAGCUGGUUCUCCCCGAAAGCUAUUUAGGUAGCGCCUCGUGAAUUCAUCUCCGGGGGUAGAGCACUGUUUCGGCUAGGGGGCCAUCCCGGCUUACCAACCCGAUGCAAACUGCGAAUACCGGAGAAUGUUAUCACGGGAGACACACGGCGGGUGCUAACGUCCGUCGUGAAGAGGGAAACAACCCAGACCGCCAGCUAAGGUCCCAAAGUCAUGGUUAAGUGGGAAACGAUGUGGGAAGGCCCAGACAGCCAGGAUGUUGGCUUAGAAGCAGCCAUCAUUUAAAGAAAGCGUAAUAGCUCACUGGUCGAGUCGGCCUGCGCGGAAGAUGUAACGGGGCUAAACCAUGCACCGAAGCUGCGGCAGCGACACUGUGUGUUGUUGGGUAGGGGAGCGUUCUGUAAGCCUGCGAAGGUGGCCUGUGAGGGUUGCUGGAGGUAUCAGAAGUGCGAAUGCUGACAUAAGUAACGAUAAAGCGGGUGAAAAGCCCGCUCGCCGGAAGACCAAGGGUUCCUGUCCAACGUUAAUCGGGGCAGGGUGAGUCGACCCCUAAGGCGAGGCCGAAAGGCGUAGUCGAUGGGAAACGGGUUAAUAUUCCCGUACUUGGUGUUACUGCGAAGGGGGGACGGAGAAGGCUAUGUUGGCCGGGCGACGGUUGUCCCGGUUUAAGCGUGUAGGUGUGUGUUCCAGGUAAAUCCGGUUCACUUUAACACUGAGGCGUGACGACGAGGCACUACGGUGCUGAAGCAACAAAUGCCCUGCUUCCAGGAAAAGCCUCUAAGCAUCAGGUAACAUCAAAUCGUACCCCAAACCGACACAGGUGGUCAGGUAGAGAAUACCAAGGCGCUUGAGAGAACUCGGGUGAAGGAACUAGGCAAAAUGGUGCCGUAACUUCGGGAGAAGGCACGCUGACACGUAGGUGAAGUGAUUUACUCAUGGAGCUGAAGUCAGUCGAAGAUACCAGCUGGCUGCAACUGUUUAUUAAAAACACAGCACUGUGCAAACACGAAAGUGGACGUAUACGGUGUGACGCCUGCCCGGUGCCGGAAGGUUAAUUGAUGGGGUCAGCGCAAGCGAAGCUCCUGAUCGAAGCCCCGGUAAACGGCGGCCGUAACUAUAACGGUCCUAAGGUAGCGAAAUUCCUUGUCGGGUAAGUUCCGACCUGCACGAAUGGCGUAAUGAUGGCCAGGCUGUCUCCACCCGAGACUCAGUGAAAUUGAACUCGCUGUGAAGAUGCAGUGUACCCGCGGCAAGACGGAAAGACCCCGUGAACCUUUACUAUAGCUUGACACUGAACAUUGAGCCUUGAUGUGUAGGAUAGGUGGGAGGCUUUGAAGUGUGGACGCCAGUCUGCAUGGAGCCGACCUUGAAAUACCACCCUUUAAUGUUUGAUGUUCUAACGUGGACCCGUUACCCGGGUUGCGGACAGUGUCUGGUGGGUAGUUUGACUGGGGCGGUCUCCUCCUAAAGAGUAACGGAGGAGCACGAAGGUUGGCUAAUCCUGGUCGGACAUCAGGAGGUUAGUGCAAUGGCAUAAGCCAGCUUGACUGCGAGCGUGACGGCGCGAGCAGGUGCGAAAGCAGGUCAUAGUGAUCCGGUGGUUCUGAAUGGAAGGGCCAUCGCUCAACGGAUAAAAGGUACUCCGGGGAUAACAGGCUGAUACCGCCCAAGAGUUCAUAUCGACGGCGGUGUUUGGCACCUCGAUGUCGGCUCAUCACAUCCUGGGGCUGAAGUAGGUCCCAAGGGUAUGGCUGUUCGCCAUUUAAAGUGGUACGCGAGCUGGGUUUAGAACGUCGUGAGACAGUUCGGUCCCUAUCUGCCGUGGGCGCUGGAGAACUGAGGGGGGCUGCUCCUAGUACGAGAGGACCGGAGUGGACGCAUCACUGGUGUUCGGGUUGUCAUGCCAAUGGCACUGCCCGGUAGCUAAAUGCGGAAGAGAUAAGUGCUGAAAGCAUCUAAGCACGAAACUUGCCCCGAGAUGAGUUCUCCCUGAGACUUAAAGUCUCCUG
rnacentral:rRNA from 1 species